CAGUCGCCACGGUAAUACGGAGGGUGCAAGCGUUAAUCGGAAUUACUGGGCGUAAAGCGUGCGUAGGCGGUUCGUUAAGUCUGUUGUGAAAGCCCCGGGCUCAACCUGGGAAUGGCAAUGGAUACUGGCGAGCUAGAGUGUGUCAGAGGAUGGUGGAAUUCCCGGUGUAGCGGUGAAAUGCGUAGAGAUCGGGAGGAACAUCAGUGGCGAAGGCGGCCAUCUGGGACAACACUGACGCUGAGGCACGAAAGCGUGGGGAACAAACAGGAUUAGAUACCCCUGUAGUCCCUGUCUCUUAUAC
rnacentral:rRNA from 1 species